CGGGGCGUGACACUCUCUCACGCUAGCGCGCUCGCCUCUCUCUCUCUUUAGCACGCUGGCGCCAAAAUUUAGGGAAAAAGAGGGAAAACGCGAGGGGAUAAAAUGUGGGAGUGAGGUUAACACUGAUUUUUUUUUUUUUUAAACCAAGUUUAUAUCAGCCGUUGGAUCAAGGAGUUGUAGGAUCUACAACUCUAAAUGGGGUGUAUGGGUAGCACGACUCUAUCACUUAACCCCAGCCCCCUGCAAAAUGUCUACGUAUCCAGCCUCUCUCCCUCUCCUUUCUUUUCAUUUCUUUCUCCUUCUCCUUCUCUCUAACUCUAGGUGAAGCUUAAUAGAGAAGGUUGAUUUGGCGUUGGAUCUUUUUUGGUGUGUUGAGCUGAAAAUAGAAGACUUGAGCAGAAAUAGAACCUAGGGGAGCUUCAAAUUUAGGUAAGGUUGAUACCUUUCCCCUGGUUUGAGUGGUAUUAGUGCUGUAGAGAGAGUUGUAAGCAAUAUGAUUGCUAGUUUUAGAACUUGUAGUGGCUGUGAGGGAAUUUGGUGGAGUAGAUUUCAGAAUUGGGGCUUCUUGCGGUUGGAGCUGAAAAGAGGGCUUUUGGUGCAGAAAAUCUGCUAGUGAGGCAUUCAGCUUGAAGUAAGUAUGCAUAUUUCUGAUUUAGAAGGGUGUUAGUUGCCUAUAUAGAAGUCUAAUUUACAGAUUUAGAAUGUUAAUACCACAAGAGGCUUAAGGGAAAUUCUGUGGCAGCAUAUAUGUAUGUAGUAUGUAGAUAUGUAUAUGCGUAGUUAUUAGAAACAGGAAAUCUGAAAUAGAUUGAUCUUAUUUCCUGUUUAAUGUCAGUAUACUCAGUUCAGGGAAGAGUUCGAAUUAUAUAUUCUGAUUACUAGGCCUCCAAAUGCCAAGAACUCUAUAUAGAACAAGAUACAUACUAUAGAUGUGUAUGUACAUAUAUAUGUACAUACUUAUGAAUGAUCAUUGGGGGUAAAAUAUGAGAUGAUGAGGAUUAAAAAUCCCUGGUUUGAAUGAUCUUCUGGGCUGUAUAAAAGUGUGGAAAGGAGGGUUUCUAAAUGAUUGUAACUUGUAUUCAUAAAUAGAAGCGUUGAGACCAUGUUGUUAUGAAAGUAAAUUACAUAUCAUUUAUGCAAAUAUAAGAAUACAACCAGAGAUAGAAAUAGUGAAAAGUUAUGCUUGAUUUCUGGUUUAAAGGGGGUAUAUGUAUGUUCUGAAGGGGAUGGAACUACAGAUUUUGAUGUGAGAACUCUUGAAAUUAUGAAAAAACUUAGAGAAGUAUAUGCUGGAAGCAUAUAUGUAUAUAUAUAUAUAUAUAUAUAUGUGACGCACCGACUUCCCAGAGGGUCACCCAUCCUAGGACUACUCCCGUCCUGGCACGCUUAACUCUCUUAACCUCUUGGGUCUUGCCACCACCCAAAAUGCUUAAGCCGGGUUAAGAGUUUAGCCCUAUUAUAUCUCAUAUAUAGGACUAUCUGGGGUCUCACAAUAUAUAUGCAUAUACUUGUGAAUUCUUGGUUAGCAAGUAAGAUUUGAACUAUAGUGAGGAUAAUCCCUGGUUAGAGAAUGAAGUAAAUCCUCUAAACUGUUAGUCUUGAGGUUAUUGGGCUGAUUAGAGUUGAGUUACUCUAUGUGCUUUUGUGAGGUUUGUUUAGUAGUAGAUUGUAUAAAGUUUUAACUCGAAAAUGCUACUUUGUAGGAUUGGAAAACUUGCCUGGAAUUGAUCACGUAUAAACCUAAUUGAGGGUAAAGCGAACGCGUUGGAAAGCUCGGAUCGAUGUUCCAACGAGCCUACGGCAAGCUAGUGAGGAAAACCUCAUUUUAGCUCAAGUUAUUGCGCGCAAGGAUUGCGGUCGUCCGUAAAUUGCGGGAAGCGGAUUUCUCGUGUUCCGGUAUCAAGUAAAGGUGGGUUGUGCUUUACCGAAGCGAUUAGGUCGCUUCCAUGCCAAAGUAAUGUAUGGUUUCAUUGACGCAUAUAUGUUUAGCGGUAGGUUUUGAUCGAUAAUAUGAAAGCAUGAAUCAUUAAGUUACCUACUAUUGGAAUAUGCAUAUGAAUAUAUAUUGAUGAUCAUAUUGGAUGACAUAUGAAUACUGACCUAUUAUGAAUAUACUAGAUGCAUAUGAAAUGAGUACGAGUCGAUAACUCUAAUUGAGUAGAAAUCUCGACGGUGACAAAAUGAAUGAAAACGCGUAAGCUAUGAUUCUAGGCUUGGAUAACUAGGAUGAUGCAUAGAUCGAGUGGCAUGAACCUAGUGUUAUUAAACAUAGGUUGGACAUAAACCUAGUGUCAUUGAACAUAGGCUGAAUUAGUAAACCUAGAGUCGGGAUCUAGGUGAAAUGAUAUAGAAUCUAGCGUGCUUGAAUCUAGGUUAUGACAUAUAGUGAUACUUAGUGAAAUUGAACUAAGUUAUGGAUUAUAGUGGUAAAAGGACCACUAGGAAAUGAAUGGUAUAGACCUAGGAAGGUCGUCAACGUAGGGUAAAUGUGUAACCCUUAAGUUGUGAAAGUGGGUUCCGGAAUCCCUAGGAAUGGUGUUGUUGGCAAAAAUAGAAUCAGAACUACGGGAUCGACGGUUCUCUUCUCCCGGUAGUGAUUCAACGGGAUCGACGGUUCUCCUCUCCCGGUAUGAGCUCAACGGGUUUGACGGUUCUCCUCGCCCGUUAAGCUUGAGCGACUUAGGGUCACGGGGAUCGACGGUUCUCCUCUCCCUGUGAUUGUACCUAUUGUCGUGUGGACUUAAGGCUGAGGUGUUUGUGAGACGUCCUUCACCUCGAGCCUGACUUGACGCGGUACUCCGCGGAUGAUUGACUCGAGGCCGAGUCGGGUGGAUAGCUUAAUUAAGGUAGAUGAAACCUUAGAAGCUAGUGUGAUACGAGCUUUGAAUAGCGAGAUGGAAAGUAGGAUCAGUAGAUCUACUUGUUACAUAGUUGCAUUAUAUUGUUGCAUAUUGCAUAUCGUGAGGCAUACAUGUUUUAAUAUCUGCAUAAAUUAUUGUGAUUAUCUGUUGGACUAACAUGUUACAGUGCCUCCUUUGGACCUGGUGGGUCGAGCUCUUCCCUUGGGUGGCCGUACCCACUGGGAACUAUAUUUAUAUAGUUCUCACCCCCGUGUUGUUUUUGGGGGUACAGGUUCACACGCGAGUGGCGCAGCGGCGCAAGGACAGGGCGUAGCUCCGUAGAUAGUGCCCCACCACUGAGACCGAGAUAGCAAUACCCCGAAGAGGUCUAGCUCAGAGUUCAGAUUGAAAGAAACAAACUUGUAGUAAUUUGUAUAAAGGCUUAUGUAAUAACUUAAAGGUAUUUGUAGUAUUGUAAAAUGUAAUAAAUCUCUAAGAUGAAUGCUUGUAAUAGCAUAGUAGCAUUUUAUGUUUUUGAUACUUGCAAUCGAUGCUGAAUACUGUUCCUGGUUGGAACCUCUUGUAUUGCAUUGUAUAGAUUGUGACGCCUAGAACGUACAGGGAAAGCUCUGUCCGUUAGGCGGUCUGUUGGCGUGUCCGAAUCCGACCAAAUAGGCGGAGCUCGGGGCGUGACAUGGUACUCCACUGAACUUUAAAGAAUUCAAUAAAUCAGCAGGAUAUAAAAGAUCCGCUUCUUCAGCAUUCACGGAAGAGCUACAAAUCGAAUCGGCACUUGUGUAUAUCUUUUCUUCGCCUUUAAUUAAGGACAGAACAUAUGUAUUAAUUUUAUCAACAGUCUCAUUUAUAGGUGUGAUAAUAGCUCUGUCUCUCAAAUAGAAUGCAUCAUUAUAAUUAUACUCGAGAUUAUCAUAUAUUGAUGCAACAAUAUCUCUGACACCAUUUCCGCUAUUUUUUAUGAGAAUAUCAUCAGGUAUCUUAAUCCAAGUAGGCUCUUCUUCAUUGUCCAACUUAAUAGCGGAUAUUUUUCCAUCACCUAAAUCAAGUGUCCAUUUUGCAAAUGCUUCCAAAUCUGCUUUAUCUUCAGUGUUUUCCGGGCAUGUACGCAACCGCAUAUUCGUUGUUAGGCGAUAUAGUUUAUAGUGCUGCCAUAUAUAUGAUUUAGUAAUUGAUGCAUUCACUAUAUCCUGUGUAACAUACCGAACUUAUAAAGUUAUGAAGUUGCGGUGUAUGUUAGCUUGGAAGAGUUAAAAGUGAGUUCUAGAAGUGUUAGAAAGGUUCUAGCAUCGACCGAGGCGAAAUGGAGUCGAGUCGAAGUCAAAACCCAAGUCUGGAGCAAGUGUACCGGUACAGCAAGCGACCUGUCACCGAUUUCAGCAUGUGAAACCGGUGAUACAUCAAAAUGUACCGGUACAUUUCGGGCGAAAAUGAGAGAUAUGCUCUUGGGUUUGCCUCUGCGUGGUCGUGGAACCGGUGACACGGGAAAGUGUACCGGUACACCUUGGCAGAAUGGCACAGUUUUGAGUCUGCUGCAAAUGUGAAUGUUUGGGGGGUUUAUUUGCAAUUGUUGCAACACCUAAAAUACCCCAAACACUCUUCCCUUUUACAGCAGCCCCUCUUCUCUUAUUUUCUCUCUCCCUCUCUCUCUAGAAACUCAAACCAAAGGUGGAUUUGGAGGAGAUUGAGGAAGUGUUUGAAGAUUUUUGCGGGNGGCGGGUAGUGCUUGGGGACGACCCGUGCCUGGACCACUUGGGGACUGUGGAGCCUGGGCCUUGGGCAGGCGCAGUCAGCUGUAAAUGACAGCGGCCCUGUACCUACGGGUAGGGCAGAGUUUUGGUUAGGACGGUAGUCCGAGCUUAGACCCGGGUGCGUGGAAUGCCACGUGUUGGAUCGUGAGAUCGAGGAUACACCAAAUAUGUGGUGACCCAACCCGAGAAUUUGGCGUGGUUUGGGGUCUUGAUAGCUCCUGGUUGGAGUGUGUGUGAAUUACCAAGUGAGAAUUUCGCCCGAAAUGUUGGUUGGGUCUACGCUUGCGAGCGAGAGACGUUGCGUGUGUCGAGACAGGUUAGGCGGUAGGUCUACGUAGAGUUGGCGGUCUAUGGACCACCUGCGGAAACCGAGGAAAGUGGCUUGGCCGGUAACUCUGUUGAGGAGCUGGGAUUAGGAUUCACGAGCAGAGUCUUCGUGAGCGGUUUGCGACAGCAAAGUCGAGUUGGUCGUGGCAAUGGAAGAAAAUAAGUGGUCUCUUGGAGACGCUUGAGGAUUGGAUAGCCACGUGAGAAAUGACGUAAAGCUCUCUUGAGGAUUGGAAUCGAGAUGUGCCGGAGUGUGCCAUCUCGUAAUAGAGCGAGAUUCGGUUGAGGUUGGAGCACUCGCGAUUGGUCGAUGCACCAAUGAUAUUGCUUCUAAGCAAUGCCGGUGAUCGAAUCGGAGUGUGUUCCCUGAUGAGAUGAGAAAUGCAAAGAGGAGUUCUUUGCUAGCAGGUUGGCAAAUGGUGUUGGAGCGUGUGGAGUCGUCAAGUAUCGACUCACGCUGCCACCGAGACUUGCAGAGUUGUAGUGCACUUUCAGUGUUGCGCUUGGCGAAUGUGAGUGAAGCUAGUCUCACACCUUCCGUGGUGGGCCUUUUGGAUUGAUCCGAUGAGAAAAAGGCCACUCCGAAGUGUGAAAGUGCGUUGGGACCCUCAAAUUGUUCGAUAAAUCGAAUUGAGGUAUGAUUUGAAUUUCGCGGAUGAAAUUCUUUUAAGGGGUGGAGAAUGUAACAUACCGAACUUAUAAAGUUAUGAAGUUGCGGUGUAUGUUAGCUUGGAAGAGUUAAAAGUGAGUUCUAGAAGUGUUAGAAAGGUUCUAGCAUCGACCGGGGCGAAAUGGAGUCGAGUCGAAGUCAAAACCCAAGUCUGGAGCAAGUGUACCGGUACAGCAAGCGACCUGUCACCGGUUUCAGCAUGUGAAACCGGUGACACAUCAAAGUGUACCGGUACAUUUCGGGCGAAAAUGAGAGAUAUGCUCUCGGGUUUGCCUCUGCGUGGUCGUGGAACCGGUGACACGGGAAAGUGUACCGGUACACCUUGGCAGAAUGGCACAGUUUUGAGUUUGCUGCAAAUGUGAAUGUUUGGGGGGUUUAUUUGCAAUUGUUACAACACCUAAAAUACCCCAAACACUCUCCCCUUUCACAGCAGCCCCUCUCCUCUCAUUUUCUCUCCCUCUCUCUCUCUAGAAACUCAAUCCAAAGGUGGAUUUGGAGGAGAUUGAGGAAGGGUUUGGAGAUUUUUGAGGGUUUUGGAGGAUCAAGAAGCUCUCCUUCAUGGUGGACUUGGAGGAGCUUGGGCAAAGGUAAGCUCUCAUGCAAGAAUACAUCUAGGGUUUAGAUUUUACCCUUAAGAUCUAGAGGUUUGAUCUUCUUGCAAACUUUAGAACCAUGUAGAGGCUUGGAAACACAUGAAAACCAUGUGAUCUUCAAGGUGCUCUAAUAGUGGAUUUCUAGGGUUUGUUCUAAACACCCUAAGAAUGGUUCGAAUGCUCCUAGUUGAGCUCCUAGAUGUUAAACAAGCUCUCUUUUGCUUGUUUUAUAGAUCAAAUCCGGAGUAUUGAGCAUAUGUCCUAUUAGGGCAUCCCAAAGAGGGGUUUUGCUCACAUAGGGUUUUGAUCUAUUUUGACCUCUUGGAAACCUAAUUGGGGACCUAACGAACGCGUUGGCGAAAUCGGUUUGACCAUUCGUCGAGUGUGCGCGAAGUUAUUGACAAAAUAACAUUGUUUCGUACAGAUAGCCGCAGCACGCGAAAUAAGGGUCUAAAAAUCAUGAGAUCGGAACCGGAGCACCUUGGAGUCAAGGAAUAAACUCCGGAAAAGACGGAUCGCGGUUCAGAGGUCGUUCGCUAGUCGCGCAAGAGUUCGGGCCAAACCGGACAACGGUUGCCGCGGGAGGCCGAUUGCAAGUGACUACAAGCAAUCGGAGUGCAAGUCAAGGUGGGUUGUGUUUACCGAAGCGACUAGGUCGCCUGUAUGUCUAAGAAUGAGUAUUUAUCAUUGAUGCAUAUCAUGGUAGCUAAUGGUAGAAGGUAUACAUGUAUGAAAUGAAUACUAUGUGGGCUACCCAAUAAUGCAUACGGCCAUAAUGUAGGAAAAUGUAUGAUAAGCAUGUUGUAGUAAAUGCUAAAGAGAAUGCAUGCUAAAAAUAUAAAGUACAAGUACAAAAGAAAAUGCAUAUUGCAUGUAUAGAAUAUUCAUGUAGAAAUGAAUGUUAGAUAAAGUGCAUACUAAUAUAAGAUGUAUGUUAAGUAAACACAUGAACUUUGUGCAUGAACUAGAUGAUAUAUAAGUGCAUGAUUGAGAUGCUAAUGAUAAAUGCAUAACACUAGGAUGACUAGAGAACUCGACAUUGGAAAACAAGAAUAAUGAACUAUAAGGACAAUCUAAAGACAUUAGAUCGAGUGGCAUUAAACCAAGAAUCAUCGACAUAGGUAUGAAAAUGGAUGAUAUGAACCUAAGUAUCAAAGAACAUAAGAUGGACAUCAAGUGGCAAUGAAACCUAAUGUUAGAAAACAUAGGUGGUAAUGAGAAAGACAACGAACCUAAAAUCACAUGAACAUAGGUUGAGAGUCAAAGGUAAUGAACCUAGAGUUAUAUAAACCUAGGAUAUGAGUAUAAAAGCAGCAAACCUAAAGUCAAGUAAACCUAGGUUGAGUAAAGGACAAUGGACCUAAAUAGGUCAACACUAUAGGGUUACAAGACCAACCCUUAAGUGAUGUAAAAUGGAUUCCGGAAUCCUCAAAGCUAAAUGCAUACACCGAGACCAGUGCAGCAUAUGAGCGACGAAGUUCGCCGCCCAGGGGCUAUAGAACCAAGGUUCCUCGCCCACCCGAAGAACUUCGACGCCGGAUGAUCGAGCAAGAACAGUGGAGCGAUACCGCCUGUAUGACGGAACCAUCCACGUGCCCUAUGCGACGAUCUCAGCCGCCGGGUGGAUAAGGCAUGUACCUAGACCACCGUGGGGAGACCUGACCAUGGCGUACGCCGCCAGACCAGCUAGGACAUGGAGUACGGUAGGCUCUGGUAAGCUGAGGUGCAUGGGAGAGUUCCUUCACCUCGAGCCGGACAGAGCGCGGACUAUCCGCGAUUGAUUGACUAAAGACCGAGUCGAGGGGCAUAGUGUGACCAAGGUAUAAGUAACCUUAGAAAAGAAUGACAAAUGCUAAAGUAUAUCGACAAUCAAGAAUAGCAAAGAAUAAAGAAUCGCCAAAGAAUGAGAAUGUAACAAAAGAAAAGAUAUAAAGAACAGCUAAUGAAAAAGAAUAGCUAAAAAAGUAAAGAAAGGCUACAAGUAAAGAAUGACCAAGAAUAUAAAGUAGAAUCAAGCAAACUACUUACAUGACUUACAGGUUUUGCAUAUCGCAUUUUGGGAGGCAGGACAUCUGUUAGUUCAAUAAUAACAUGAUGAUAAAUAUAUAUAGAUGUUAUUGGACUAACAUGUUAGAGGGCCUCAUUAGACAUAUCGACCGAGCUUUUCCCUUAGGUGGCCGUACCCACUGGGAACCAUGGAGUUGGUUCUCACCCCACGUUGUUUGGGGUCUUUACAGGUACACACGAAAGCGGCGCGGCGGCGCGAGGCAAGGGCGUAGCUCCGUAGAUAGCGCCCUACCCCAGAGACCGAGAUAGCAGUACCCGAGUUGGUGGUCUAGCUUGGGAGGUUUAAAGACAAAGAACAAACUUUUAUCAAAUUGUAAUAUUUGUGAUUGUAUUCGGAAGUUUAAUGUAAAAGAAAAUUAUGGUGUAAAAAAUGUAUCUAAGUUGAAUGUUGUAAUAACUUAGUAGUAUUAUGUUUUUGAUACUUCCUUAUGCAAUCUAUGAAUGAAUACUGUUCCUGGUUGGAACCUCUCGUAUUGUAUUGAUUGCGACGCCUUGGACGUACAGGGGAGACUCCGUCCGCGGCACAGGAAAACCCUGUCCGUUCGGCGGUCUGUUGGCGGCGCCGCGACCCGACCAAAUAGGCGGGUGGUCGCGGGUUGUGAUAGAUAUGAUGGUAUCGGAGCAUAAAAUAGAGAAUGGGAAUAGUUUAGGCAGACCUAGGAGAUCCUAGGAUAGUGAAACCAUAGGAGAAUAAGGCUCGUGAGAGACGAGGACUUGUGAUUUAUGGCGAAAGGUUAAUGGAUUGGGUUGUGUCGAAACCUCUAAAAUGGAUAUUAGAGGUAGAUUCAAGGUGUUGUUUAUUCUCAACCGAGAGUGUUCAUGUUGGGUGCACACAACAUGAAACCAAGCGAUGAGGAUAGAUACCCUUGUAUGACUUUCGCCUGAUUGGCUUUUGAGCCGGUGUUAGUGGUCUCGUGCUCGACCCAAGAUGGUCGAGAACUAAUCGAGUUGUCGUGUUUCAGGAAACGAUGGCACCGCGUAGGCGACCUUCAUCCAGAUCGGCGCGGGAGGGGACAAGUGGUGUCCCUGAGCAAACCGGCGCGAGCGGAGACUCAGAGCUUCGCGAUCAGUUGGCCACACUCGUGGGAUUUAUGAGGCAACAAGCUGAUGUGGUGCAGUGGCAGCAGGAGGCUGCUAUGCGCCAGGAGGAGCGAAUGAAAAGGCUCCAAGAGACGGUGGAUCAGCUGGUGGCUGCACCGACUGCGGCUCGUCGAGGACGGCCGGGAGUCGCGGCGGAGAUAUUUUCGUCGGGGUCGGGCGAUCCGACUCCGGUUAGUUCAGGGAUGGAGGCGGAAAGGGAGCGAGCCUUGGCGGCCCUCAUGGCUUUCAAGCAGUUUGAUAAGCCUACCUUCGAUGGAGAGGAUACAGAUCCGUGGAUCGUGGAGAUGUGGAUUGAUUCCAUGGAAACACUCUUCGAGGAUCUGUACACUGUGGAGCGGGACAAGGUAAACCUAGCCGUGCACUACUUGAAUAGUCGGCGAAGGUGUGGUGGAAGGGCGUCAAGCGAGAUCGAUCGCCUACUCUCCCUCCUAUGACUUGGGAAGAGUUUCGGGGAAUGCUAUUCUCUGCUUAUUUCCCCGACAGUGAGAAAAGGAAGCUUCAGGAGAGGUUCCGGAAGCUGCGGCAAGGAGACCGCUCAGUUAGGCAAUACGAGCGGGAAUUCUCUCUAUCGUGCAUUGUAUUCCAAACGUGGUGCGGGAUGACAAGGAUAAGGCCGACUGCUUUGUGCGUGGGCUUCGGCCAGAUCUUUACCAGGCUGUGCUCGUACUUAGGUUACAGACUUUUGCCGAGGUCCUGGAUCGGGCCUUGUGGAUAGAACAAGGCAACGCAUUCCUGCAGGAGGAGCGCGAGGCGUACUACAAGGAAAAAGGAAAAGGACGGCCGGGGAGUGGAUCUGGUGGUCAGUCUUGUCACGCCCCGCCCCGAAACCACUACCAAUUUGGCACGAUUGGGCCGCGGCGGCGGACUGCCGAACGGACAGCACCUCCCCUGUCCGCUCAAGGCUCAACAACAAGAAUGUGUACAAGAAUUUACCCAGGAAAUUAAAUUCUAAACAUACACAUUCACAAGGGCACGAUGUCACGCCCGGGUACCAGCGGAAGCAUAUCCGGUACGUGCACAGACCCGCCAUACACCUGCAGUAUAUAAGGCGUCUACAAGCAACAAGUCGAUAGGAAGUAAAACAAGAAAGUCCUAUCCUGAUAUCAGAGCAAAGUACAAGUCGAUGUACAACGAGUAUCCAAUCCAAGUCAAAAUACAAACCAAGAUCUCAGCAAAAAGGAGAAGUAACACCACUAUAAUCUCAACCCCGAAAGUAAAUAUACAUCAUGGGUAUACAAAAAGAAUAGAUACAAUGGUGGUCUCUCUAUAUAUAUAUGGGCAUCACCCUCGGCCGUAGCCCGAGUAGCAAGGUGAUCGACUAGCACGCUCCUAGUAGUCCCUAGCUAGGCGCGACUCCCUUGCCACGAUCCCUAGCCUCUCCUGUAGAUGGCUCUGUAAAAACAACCACCAAAAGGGCGUGAGAACUAUUAACAAUAGUUCCCAGUGGGUAAGCCGCCAGCCUCGGCGAAUUACACCACUAGGCUCAAGAUGUACUAAAUGAAAGCAAUAACAAUAAUUGCAUGAUUUAUAAGCAUGAUGCUAAUAAGUAAUAAGCAUGUAAUCAACAUGUAAUAGCUUUCUACAGUAAUGAACCAUUUGCAUAAAAGAGAUAUAGCAACUUCUGUAAUCAUGAACAUAGACAUGAGUAUAAGCACGAACAUAAAAGUGACUACUGUACACUUUAAGUAAUAAACAUUCAUUACUGUCCUUUUUCAUUUAGUACUUUCCUUUCAUUCACAGGGACCUACCCAAGGUAGUCCAGCUUGCGCCGCGCCUAAUGGCCCCGUGGUAGUAUACACUCCCCACGGCAAUCCACUUCGGCACCCAAUCCCGCACGGGCGAGCAACUGUCGCGUAGGCCAACUCCGGAGUGCCGGCUUGUAGGGAGCGACCCUCACAAGCGUGUGCGAAUGAGCACGAUGGCAAGCAAGCAAAGUCCAUUGUCCACAUGUCUCAAUUCUCAUGUUUCAUUUGCAGUAUUCUCGCUCUCGAUCCUUUGAUCGACAUUUCAGUAUAACAAAUAUUAACAACAACUAGAAUCCACUAGUUUAGUAAGCAUGCAGGAGUAAUGCUAAUUUACAUAUGGCAUUAGAAUCUUUCACUAUCAUGGCACUAUCAACAUAGGCACAAGCAUGUCAUAGUUCUCUACUUCAGAGUCAAGAGAAUGUCAUUGUUCUCUACUUAUAAUUAAGCGAGUAAAAAGAGAAUGUCACUGUUCUCUACGUUUCAUGAGCAUAAUAACGUGUCUCAUUGUUAUUCAACUAAACCAAAUAGGAAUAUGAAUACAUUUAGGCGUGAGGAUUCUCUACUUCAUAGAGAUUCUAUGUCAAUAUAGUAAAUGUUAUGAUGACGAAUUCUCAAGCCCUUUAGCUAUCACAUAAGCACACAACUAACACAUUUCUAUAAUACAUAUAGAACAUAGAGGAGCUUCACUUGCUCUGGUUAGGUCCGACCCACCUAUUACUCAGCUCAAAACGGUCCAACAGAAGCUCUAAACUCAACUCAAACGGUUCCUGGACCUGCUGAAAACAAAACAUCAAACCGCAUCGAAGCAAUUACUUAAUAAUCCGAUUUCGGCUCCAAUCACACAAAGUAUGAAGUAAUAACUCAAUUCCCUGCUUUGACUAGCUUAAUACCUCAGAUUAAGCUUCCAAAAGGCCCUCCAAUGCCAGUCGAAGACAGUCCAAGGGUCAAUUACCCUCUCGCUGCGAACAAAACCGAAACGACAUCAAUAUAGUCGAUUAUAAGCUAUAAUAGUCGAAUUCUAGCAAUUUCAGCUUCCUAACUGAAAUUCUUGCUUACCUCAGGUUAGAACACCUUCUAAACCAGCCUCAAAAGGUACACGUUCAGCUCAACGAGACUCGAAGACCUGCUGCGAAGAGAAAAUUCCAAAUUGCAUCAAUAAUCCGCGUAUAGUUCCGAUUAAGCUUCAUAAAUGGCUAAAUAUUCCACUUAAGCUUCAAAGUAGCUUAUCCCUGGUCUAAGAAGGUUAAAUCACAGCUAAUUAUCUCAUUUUUAAUUGCUGAAAUCUCAGCCUAGCACAGCAAGAGGCAAAAACCCGAAAUUAUUACUUAAAUCGACGAAUAGAACGUCGAUAACAGCGAAAGUGAGUCGCUUACCUUCUCAAGCUGCCAACCAGUGACCUGCUGGUCCAGGGCUGCGAAAACCCAUCCAAAAUACUCUCUCACACGUCCACGUAAGCUCUGCGACGCUCGCAAACAGCGAAGAACGCACGCGGCGACGAAAACAAGCUAAAUCGGCGAAUUUUUUGUAGAGAGAGAAAAACCCUAGAGAGAGAGAGAGAUGAAGGUGGAAGAACAACCUCCUGAGUUCCAGCAACCAUUACUGAACUCCCAGAGUCGUGCUGGAAUCAAAUAGGUGAGAGCAAGAUGUGAAAUUACCAAACUACCCAAGCUGCCACGAAUCUGCCAGCUUGUACCGGUACAAGGUGAUGGCUGUACCGGUACAACAAGCAGAAAAUUGCUGAUUUUCGCAGAUCAAUGCAAUUUCUCACUUUUAACCCUCCAAUCACUCUCUAACUGGUCAAAAACUUCUCCAAAUCAUUUAGAACAUGUAGAAUAGUUCCACACUUCAUUGCUCACACUCGAAUUUCGCAAUUUGCAAAAGUUCAGUGUAUUACACACGAACAGUGCCAACAAUACAAAGAGCAAGUAAUCCACAAGAUAAAACAUGUGAAAUAAAGAGAGUACUUUACUAGCUAUUACAAUAGUUGCAUUUUUUUACAUUUACAUCAUUUUUCCAAAAUGAAUACAUUUGAUCCUCAAAAUACAUAGCUCUCCAACCUCACCUACAUGAAUCUCUCUCAAUACAUAGGGGUGCUAAUGCAAAAGGAAAGCUACUAUACUACCACGGUCUCACUGAUCGGGCGCGAUGCCCUUGCCGCGGUCCUCUCUCGGUAACCCUGUACCUACCACUGGAAAUAGAGUGGGGUGAGAACUAUCUUCCAUAGUUCCCAGUGGGCUCGGCCGCCGACUCUGCCGAUCUCCCCACUAGGUCCAAGUGGGCACAAGCAACAACAGGUAGAUAGAUAGAUAGAUAGAUA
rnacentral:lncRNA from 1 species